CUUUUGCCCGGUGGCGCUGCGCUUACCGGGCCUACAGGUACAGAUGCUGUAGGCCGGAUGAGCGUUAGCGCCAUCCGGCAUU
rnacentral:sRNA from 1 species